AACUCAGCCCAUUAGUCCGUGAUCAACUAGGGUUUUCUACAUGUGGCCGUCACUAUAUAUACACCCAUCCCCACUCUUAACCAAUAAUAGCCAUCGUAACUGUGGGAAUAUUCAAGUUAGUCAGUGUCUUUGAUUCUUAAGCUCUUUGAAGUUUUUAUCUUUAGGUUUGUGAUUGAGUUAGUUAAGGCAGCACGUCACUGAUGCGCUUGAAAAAGUGGUGCUUUCGGUCCUUUUAGCUGCC